CCUACGGGUUGCACCAGUGGGGAAUAUUGGACAAUGGGCGAAAGCCUGAUCCAGCAAUGCCGCGUGUGUGAAGAAGGUCUUCGGAUUGUAAAGCACUUUCGACGGGGACGAUGAUGACGGUACCCGUAGAAGAAGCCCCGGCUAACUUCGUGCCAGCAGCCGCGGUAAUACGAAGGGGGCUAGCGUUGCUCGGAAUGACUGGGCGUAAAGCGCGCGUAGGCGGAUAGAUAAGUCAGAGGUGAAAUCCCGGGGCUCAACCCCGGAAUUGCCUUUGAUACUGUUUAUCUUGAGUGCAGAAGAGGUAAGUGGAAUUCCGAGUGUAGAGGUGAAAUUCGUAGAUAUUCGGAGGAACACCAGUGGCGAAGGCGGCAACCUGGCUCGAUACUGACGCUGAGGCGCGAAAGCGUGGGGAGCAAACAGGAUUAGAUACCCGGGUAGUC
rnacentral:rRNA from 1 species